GAAAACCUAAAAGGUCAGUUGUGCGCCAUGGACGGCGCCUCGCGGACCUCCAUCGCGCUGUCUGCUCCUACAGUCCUCAGAGACGCCGAAAAUGCCCCGGGUGCGAGUCGCCUCUUCUCUGCGCGCAGCAUCUGGAAAAUGUGCGCCUACGUGAGAAACAGUCUGUGAACGCCGUUCGAGAAUGCUGAACUUACUCUCAUGUGAUCUCGAGUGACGGUAUCGAGGGAGACUGUAACAGUGUUGUUAGUGAUUCCUGAACAAUACGAGUACUGUCUUGCUGGUGGUUCGGACAGAAGCGGUCACAGUCGUGCACCGUUUUGCUGAAAUACCUUUGGGACUGCACAACUGAGGUGCCUGACAUGAGGGAGAGGGCCUUCCUCGUGGGAGUCUCUCUGGCGGCCGUUAUCUGCAUGACAGCCGUACACGCACAGACAGAGACAGAGCGCCCGGCGCCGAGGGAGCCGACGGCCUUCACCGCCUGCUC